AGUGAACGCUGGCGGUAGGCCUAACACAUGCAAGUCGAACGGCAGCACAGUAAGAGCUUGCUCUUACGGGUGGCGAGUGGCGGACGGGUGAGGAAUACAUCGGAAUCUACUUUUUCGUGGGGGAUAACGUAGGGAAACUUACGCUAAUACCGCAUACGACCUACGGGUGAAAGCAGGGGAUCUUCGGACCUUGCGCGAUUGAAUGAGCCGAUGUCGGAUUAGCUAGUUGGCGGGGUAAAGGCCCACCAAGGCGACGAUCCGUAGCUGGUCUGAGAGGAUGAUCACCCACCCUGGAGCUGAGACACGGUCCAGACUCCUACGGGAGGCAGCAGUGUGGAAUAUUGGACAAUGGGCGCAAGCCUGAUCCAGCCAUACCGCGUGGGUGAAGAAGGCCUUCGGGUUGUAAAGCCCUUUUGUUGGGAAAGAAAAGCAGCAGGUUAAUACCCCGCUGUUCUGACGGUACCCAAAGAAUAAGCACCGGCUAACUUCGUG
rnacentral:rRNA from 1 species